CCCAAAGAGAUGGCCACUGUAGGGCCCUCACUUUUAUGCUGGUUGGGUCUAGGACUAACUCUUCUCAAGAGGGGGUAGGCAUUCAGAAGCCUACAUCAGGACAAAUACCCCACUUAUAUUUGGUUUAAAUAUAUUUUAAACAGUGUCAAAACCUAAUAUUCUUAAUAUUGUACUAUAACUAGAGAUUAUAUCACCCAGUUUUAUCACCAUCAAGAUUCUCAUCAUCUGAGGAACAGUCCAGAGACCAAAGAAAGAAAGACGAGGUGCAGAGUUUCAGUUUUACAGAAUGAAGAGAGUUCUGGAGAUGGCUGCACAACAAUGUGGAUGUACUUGAUGUCGUUGAAAUGUAUACUUAGAAAUGGUUAAAAUGAUGGAGGCUGUGUUCUUACCAUAUUCUGCAGCUGUAAGAAAAGUUCAGAAGAAAUACUGCUUGGAAAUAAUUGUCGAUGCUGUCAACAACUUCCUCUCUGUGCAUGGACUUCUCAAAGGUUCUUGUUGAUGAAGUGCUCUGGCCAAACCCCCCUCUCUGCUCCCCUUCAGCAAGAAAAAGCACAUUACCAUGUUUAAGAAAAAGGUUGGAUCCCAACACUGGCCCUCUUUUACUUUCCAAGAAACUUACCCAUACAUUAACGAACUGAUAACUUUGCCCCCAGACACCAAAUGGAACUUUAUAUUCAGUACAGAUGUUUAUUGCCAAAUUGCCAAGAAAACAUUCACAAUUUCACUUCUUAAUUAAACCAAAUAUUGUAAAUGAGGGGAAAAGGA